rnacentral:rRNA from 1 species
AGAGAGAGACAUGCGCGCAUAUCAAUAAGCGGAGGAAAAGAAACUAACAAGGAUUCCCUUAGUAACGGCGAGUGAAGCGGGAAGAGCUCAAAUUUGAAAUCUUCAAGGUUUUACCUUGACGAAUUGUAGUUUAAAGAAGUGUUUUCUGCUGAAGUUUUGGUAAAAGUUCUUUGGAAUAGGACAUCAUAGAGGGUGAGAGUCCCGUAUUUGACCAUUAUUUUCAGCCUUGUGAUACACUUUCAAAGAGUCGGAUUGUUUGGGAAUGCAGUCCAAAAUGGGUGGUAAAUUUCAUCUAAAGCUAAAUAUUGGCGAGAGACCGAUAGCGAACAAGUACCGUGAGGGAAAGAUGAAAAGAACUUUGAAAAGAGAGUUAAACAGUACGUGAAAUUGUCAAAAGGGAGGCGUUUGACACCAGUGUUGUUUUCUCGAAAAUCAAUUAAAAAUGGCUCGAUUUUGUAUUGCUGAGACCUUAAAAGCUCACUGUACAUUUUUCGUGUCUUUUUUAAUGCACUUUUCGUUUAACAAGUCAACAUCAGUUUCUUUUGUUGUAAAAGGGUCAUUGGAAGGUGGCUUUCUUUUCGGAGAAAGUGUUUAUAGCCUUUGGCCUCUGCAAUCGGAGAUGACUGAGGUCUGCAGCGUAGACUCUUCGGGGUUAGAUACACUUGUGCUAAGUUAUAGCUUUUUAUAGACAACUUGUUGACUAUAAUUAGUCUUGUAGCUUACUCGCUUAUGCUAUUUUACCUACGCUUAGGAUGUUGAGUCGUAGAGCACGCAG